rfam:Echinostoma caproni strain Egypt genome assembly, scaffold: ECPE_scaffold0008277
GGCCUCGUAGCUCAGCUGGUAGAGCAUGCGCGUACAAAGCGUAGGCGGUGUCCAUGCGUGGGUUCGAAUACCACCGAGGCUA